rnacentral:rRNA from 1 species
GUAGGUGGCAAGCGUUGUCCGGAAUUAUUGGGCGUAAAGCGCGCGCAGGCGGUCCUUUAAGUCUGAUGUGAAAGCCCACGGCUCAACCGUGGAGGGUCAUUGGAAACUGGGGGACUUGAGUACAGAAGAGGAAAGCGGAAUUCCAAGUGUAGCGGUGAAAUGCGUAGAGAUUUGGAGGAACACCAGUGGCGAAGGCGGCUUUCUGGUCUGUAACUGACGCUGAGGCGCGAAAGCGUGGGGAGCAAACAGGGAUUAGAUACCCUGGUAGUCCGACGCCGUAAACGAUGAGUGCUAAGUGUUAGGGGGUUUCCCGCCCCUUAGUGCUGCAGCUAACGCAUUAAGCACUCCGCCUGGGGAGUACGGCCGCAAGGCUG